UCAAUGCCUCCAGCCCCAGGGAGGGCACGGCGGGGCAGGUGACGGUGGUGGCCCUGCUGCAGCCCAGCUGACACUUCUGCUUGCAGCAGGCCCGCAGGUGAGGCCUGCCCCGCUCCACCCCACCGCCAUCUUGGGUCACGGCAUGGCGGCCAGCUCAGUGCGCCCUUCCCCACAGCCUCGGGGCCCUGCGGGAGCGGCUGGGGCAGCAGGGUGUGAGCAAUGUCCGCUAUAUGAUCAUCAACGAGCAGGCCCCGCUGUCCCGCGCCAUGUUCGGGGAGCUGCUGCGCCAUGCCCCGCCGGGCGUCCCCAUCCUCCAGCAGCAGCCACACGAGCCCGAUGUGUGGCAGCUGCUGGGGGGUGACAAAGAUGACUUCCUUGUCUACGACCGCUGCGGCCGCCUGGCCUUCCACAUCCAGCUGCCCUACAGCUUCCUGCACCUGCCCUACGUCGAAUCCGCCAUCCGCUUCACCCACCGCAAGGACUUCUGUGGGAACUGCUCCCUCUACACCAACAGCACCCAGGAGGCCAACAGUACCACGGAGGUCCCUACGACCCCGACCCCGCUUCCCAAACAGGAGGAGAAGAAGUCCGAGACCCCCACCCACCACCAACCCAACCAUCUCCAUCCUCACCGCCACGCGGCUGGCAGCAGGACAGCCCCAGAGCCCAGCAGGGACCACAGACCUGCUCACGCUCACCACCACCAUGGAGCCCAUGGCCAACUCCAUCCCAAGGGGCAGAUGCCAGAGGGACACAAUCCCUAAUCUGGGCAGAACCCAUAGCGUGCACACCACGCUGGCUCGCUUCCCAGAGGCAUCGAAAGGCUUGCUUUGUGCUGCUGGCCACAAGCAGCAUUGGUAUGCAGCCCCCUUCACGUGGGUCACGCUUCCACCCAGUGUCCAGGGAUGGAAAUCCCCCUCUGGCACCCAGAGGUGCUGACCUUUUGGCCCUGAGACUCAGUUCUACCCCUUCUUCCUCUGCUGCUGCCUCUCUGUGCUCAAUGAUGCCCGUGGUGCAAACCAGGACCUCCUCGGUCACCGCAGGCUGACACCGCACGGAGCAGCGGGGCAGGGAUUGAAAGGGCAGAACUGGGACCCAUGGGUGCACCCGAAGCGCCAGGGUGAGCCUGGAGGAGGGGAGUACCGACGGGGGUCAUCGCUCCCUGCGUCCCAACCUUCCCACCCUGUGCACGGGUAUGUGCAGUGGUGGUGGGUGGCCGCAAGAUGGUGGCCGUGUCCCCUCUCAGAAAAUAGGGGCUGCCUUCAGAGCCCGCAGCUCUGGGAGGAGGACGUGGGUGGGGGUCCUGGGGUGAAGUGGACAUCCAGAUGAUGAAUAAAGCCUCUGUGAAGUGAACC
rnacentral:lncRNA from 1 species